rnacentral:rRNA from 1 species
GGGGAAUAUUGGACAAUGGGGGCAACCUUGAUCCAGCAAUGCCGCGUGAGUGAUGACGGUCUUCGGAUUGUAAAGCUCUGUCUUUUGGGACGAUAAUGACGGUACCAAAGGAGGAAGCCACGGCUAACUACGUGCCAGCAGCCGCGGUAAUACGUAGGUGGCAAGCGUUGUCCGGAUUUACUGGGCGUAAAGGAUGUGUAGGCGGAUACUUAAGUGAGAUGUGAAAGCCCCGGGCUCAACCUGGGGACUGCAUUUCAAACUGGGUAUCUAGAGUGCAGGAGAGGAAAGCGGAAUUCCUAGUGUAGCGGUGAAAUGCGUAGAGAUUAGGAAGAACAUCAGUGGCGAAGGCGGCUUUCUGGACUGUAACUGACGCUGAGGCAUGAAAGCGUGGGGAGCAAAC